rnacentral:lncRNA from 1 species
ACAUUAUGAGGGGGAGGACAGGGGUAAGGGAGACAGGGAGAAAGGGGGUAGGAGAAAGGAGAGGAAGGCUGGGAGAAAGGAGAAAAAGUUGGAGAAAGGAGAAAAAAUAAAAUAUCUCUCCUUUUAAAAAAUGAUCUAAUAUUUCAAGAAAAAAUAUCUCAAAAGGAGAUGUUUUAUUCUAAUGGAGAAAGGAGAACGGGGGUAGGAGAAAGGAGAAGAGGGGUGGGAGAAGGGAGAAGGGUACCCCCUGUCCUCCCCCUCCAUUAUAUA